UACAGAGGGUGCGAGCGUUGUUCGGAAUUACUGGGCGUAAAGCGCGCGCAGGCGGCCUUUUAGGUCUGCUGGUGAAAUGCCGGGGCUCAACCCCGUGCCCGCCACAGAUACUGGGAGGCUGGAGACGAGUAGAGGCAAGCGGAAUUCCGGGUGUAGCGGUGGAAUGCGUAGAGAUCCGGAAGAACACCGGAGGCGAAGGCGGCUUGCUGGGCUUGGUCUGACGCUGAGGCGCGAAAGCGUGGGGAGCGAACAGG
rnacentral:rRNA from 1 species